rnacentral:tRNA from 1 species
GGCCUCGUAGCUCAGCUGGCAGGGCACCCGCGGUACAGAGGCGAAGGUGGUGACCAUGCGUGGGUUCGAGUCCCUCCGGGACCG